GGAUGUGCGGGCAGUCUGGCUGUGACAUCUGUCAUGCCAUUGACCCCAUUGGUAGCCGGGGUUGAUUUGGCUGAUCUGACUGGCUAGGCAGGUGUCCCCUUCCUCCCUUCCUCAUCGCUCUGUGUGCAUCCCUCCUGAAGUUGCACGUUUGGUCGAAGAGCUCGACCUUCACAGAUAGAGGAGGACACUUCUCAGGUCAAGCGUGUAUAUAGAGUAGCUGCGCUCCCCUGCUAGAACCUCCAGGCAAGCUCUCAAGAUCCAUUCGUAGGAGCGUGUAGGGUAGUGAAGCUUUAAGACACCAGAUGCAUCCAAAUGACGUGCUGCAUGUGGCAGUCUACCUUUCUUU
ensembl:misc_RNA 7SK 7SK RNA